rnacentral:misc_RNA from 1 species
CCAAACUUGGUCAUUUAGAGGAAGUAAAAGUCGUAACAAGGUUUCCGUAGGUGAACCUGCGGAAGGAUCAUUAUUGAAUUUUAUUAAUGAGGAGUUGAGUUGUUGCUGGCCUUUUCUACCUUAAUUUGGCAGGAGGGGGCAUGUGCACACCUUCUCUUUCAUCCAUCACACCCCCUGUGCACUUGUGAGACAGCAAUAGUUGGUGGAUUUAAUUCCAUCAUCCAUUUGCUGUCUACUUAAUUUACACACACUCUACUUAAUUUAAACUGAAUGUAAUUGAUGUAACGCAUCUAAUACUAAGUUUCAACAACGGAUCUCUUGGCUCUCGCAUCGAUGAAGAACGCAGC